rnacentral:tmRNA from 1 species
GGCCUUCCCUCGGAGGCGUGCUCCCCCUAUAUUCGAAGGGCCGGCGCAAGUCGGCUAUGGCGAUAAACGGUCAUCGGAAUAAACCCUUCGGACCCGGGGGCAGUACCCGGCGCCUCCACCAGAACCCAUCCCGCGGGGUGGGCUGCGGCGGGGGCGAAACAGGAUCGACGAGGGCGUAAAGGGUGUUCUUUCGCUCGGCAUGGUACCGCCGUCAUCGGACCAAACAUAUAGUUGCCAACGACAACUAUGCUCCGGUUGCUCAGGCCGCGUGAGCGGUUUGAUCUACGGAAAAUAAGUCCUAGCGGGUAGCACCGUGAGGCGGGGUUCGGAGGCACCUGGCAACAGAAGCCUCCACU